rnacentral:rRNA from 1 species
GAUGAACGCUGGCGGCGUGCCUAAUACAUGCAAGUCGAGCGAACAGAUGAGGAGCUUGCUCCUCUGACGUUAGCGGCGGACGGGUGAGUAACACGUGGAUAACCUACCUAUAAGACUGGGAUAACUUCGGGAACCCGGAGCUAAUACCGGAUAAUAUAUUGAACCGCAUGGUUCAAUAGUGAAAGACGGUUUUGCUGUCACUUAUAGAUGGAUCCGCGCCGCAUUAGCUAGUUGGUAAGGUAACGGCUUACCAAGGCAACGAUGCGUAGCCGACCUGAGAGGGUGAUCGGCCACACUGGAACUGAGACACGGUCCAGACUCCUACGGGAGGCAGCAGUAGGGAAUCUUCCGCAAUGGGCGAAAGCUUGACGGAGCAACGCCGCGUGAGUGAUGAAGGUCUUCGGAUCGUAAAACUCUGUUAUUAGGGAAGAACAAAUGUGUAAGUAACUAUGCACGUCUUGACGGUACCUAAUCAGAAAGCCACGGCUAACUACGUG